GACGUAGGGAGCGAGCGUUGUCCGGAUUCAUUGGGCGUAAAGGGUCCGUAGGCGGCUCAGCAAGUCGGGUGUGAAAUCUCGGGGCUUAACUCCGAAACUGCAUUCGAUACUGCCGUGCUUGAGGACUGGAGAGGAGACUGGAAUUUACGGUGUAGCGGUGAAAUGCGUAGAUAUCGUAAGGAAGACCAGUGGCGAAGGCGGGUCUCUGGACAGUUCCUGACGCUGAGGCACGAAGGCCAGGGGAGCAAACGGG
rnacentral:rRNA from 1 species